GAUAUUUGACACCAGACUGAGUUGAAUGCUGCAUUUUUCAAGCGGCAUUUUGAAUGAGGAUUAAUCAUGGAGUUUGAGCAUCAAGUAAAAGAAGAGGAAAAGUCCUGUUCAACAAUAUAUCAGCUUAACAACAACAAGUUGAAAUUUGAAGCAGGACAAGACAGUAAACGUACCCCAUGGGUGGAGUAAGACCAAGGCCAUUGCUUAAGAGACUUGGCCUUCCAUUUACAACUGAUGUGUUCUUUGGAAGAUGAAUACGAGCUGCAUGUGCAGUUCCUGCUACUACUACUACUAGCAGCCAUAUGAUGAGCCUACUGAUGAAACCUCCAUCAUUCGACAACAUUAUUGUUUAUCCGAAAGCUGUGAGUUGGAGUAGAAUAAAACCAGAAUGACUCUCCCCUACUUGCUUUAGAAAUCACGCUGUACCAUAUCACGGGGGGUGAAAAAUCUUCUAAAGGAAUCUAACUGGGGCCAGACACAAUCUAGGUGACCAAGUCCUAAACUUUUAUGCACAACUGACAUACAGCACGGUGCGGACCACAGGCAUGCAUGGUGUUAUGGGUAGAGCUGGCAAUGGGUCGGGUUGGGUCGAAAUCAGGUCGACCUAUUUAUAAACGGGUUGAAAAUUCCCCGACCUGAACCCAACCUGUUUAGUUAAACGGGUUGAAAAUUUCAACCCAACCCAACCUGAAAUUAAACGGGUCAACCUGAUUUCAACCCGCUGACCCAUUUAUUUAUUUUUCUUUGUAAACAACAUGCACUGUAAUCUGUUAAAUAAAAAAUGUGAAUCGAAUUGGCAAUAUUUGCAAUUAAUGAAUGCAUUGUUACAAGUCAUUAAGUCUUAAUAAGUCACCAAAUCCGAAAUUAAGGCUUACUACAUUACCAAAUCCGAAAUUCUUGACAUAAAACUAAAAUUCAAAUACAAACUCAUAUAUGUAAUUGUUCAAUGCUAGUUUAUAAUACGCUAGCCCUAUCUAAGCAUCAAACUUGUUGGAGUUCCUGGUGAAGCAGGGUGAGGGUUGAGUAUCCACAGUCACAAAGCACAUCAACUUGAUCUUCCACCUUCAACAAUGUACUGCACUUCAAUUUAAAUUGGCAAUAAAUCAGUAACAUAAUAAAAUCAACAUUCCACUAGCUCACAUAUAUAAAAAUUAACCGGUAAACUACCAUGAACUACUAAUUUCAUAUUGAAGUUUCCUACAAAGACCAAAUCUAGUACAAAUCCAACUUACAAAAAGCACAAACUUCUUAAUGUUACUAAAACAAAGCCAUAUUUGAUAUUUAGCAUGGUAAUCCUACAUUUUACAAGAAAACAGCAAGACCCAUGCUUAUUACUCAAAAUUACGAAUGGUUCAACAUACAAAAAAUUACGAAAAUUACUCACUUGAAUUAGAGUGACUGAGUGAGUGAGAGAGCGGCGCGGUGAGCGGAGAGCCGGAGACCGACGAGGGGCGUGGUGGGUGAGUGGAAACCAACAAGCGGCGGCGCGGUGGGUUUAAGUCAUAGUGAGAGAAUGAGUGAGUGCGAGAGUUAGAGAGGAGAGACUGAGAGAGGGGAGACAGUGAGAGUGAAUUUGUGAGAGAUUUUUAGGGUUUUUCUUUAUAUAUGAGUAGAGAAGAAGAGAAGCCCAAACCAUAAAGCCCAAAAUGAUUUAGGAUAUCCAGUAAUUUUUCUUUAAACUUUUAAACGGGUUGGCGGAUUGGCCGGGUUGGCGGGUUAACCUAUGACCCAAUAAUUAAACGGGUUAGGCGGGUUGUCUUCGGGUUGAAAUUUUCAACCUGACCCAACCCAUUUAAUAAACGGGUUGGGUUGGGUCGACCUAUUUAACUAAACGGGUUGAAAAAUCUUGACCCAACCCUUUAAUAACGGGUUGGGUUCGGGUCGGGUUAGUGGGUUGGGUAAGCUUUUGCCAGCUCUAGUUAUGGGCCACCUUUCUUUUGCAAUUGACCUUGCCUAGUGCGUUGCUCAUGGGCCGGUCUACCCAGGCUCAAGCUAAGUGAGUUUGGCACGGGCCAAAGUCAUCUUUACUUUUAAUGAUUUUGAGAGACGGUGUUCUUUUCACCUUAGAAAAUAUCAAGUUUAGUUCAUACUUCCUCUCUUCAUAAAUAUUCGUAAUAUUUGAUAUUUUUACACUAUUCACAUAUUCCAUUUUUGACUAUUGUUGGUGAUUUAUACGUCAAAUGAAACAUAGUCAUGUGUGAUCUUGUUAGAUUCGUCUCAAUACUUAUUUUCAACCUAUCAAUUUUUUUUUAUAAUUUUUGCUUGGAGAGAAUUUAAGAUAUUGACAAUCUAAAUUGUGCACUGGCUUGGGUGAAAGUGACAAACGUUGCGAGUAUUUAUGAACGGAGGAAGUACUUUAUUAGUUUCAAUAAGUUCCAAUCAAGUCUUUUUUACACGUCUAAUUAGGCGCAAUAAGAUUUUGUCAGUUCCAAUAAGUAAUUAUCUCAUAAAUUUCUAUCA